GGUAAUGUGAAGUAAGUAUGAUAUUGAAAAUUUGUGCAUAUGAAAUUAUCCGUUUAGCUAUAUGAAUGCUAUACUUUUGUUGUGCUGGAAUCCCUUGCUCAAAACUUACUAAGCAUAAAUUGCUUACUCUGUUUCUUUGUUUCUCUGUUUUAUAGAUUUUGGCUCGUCAGCUAUCGGACUCGGGAUUUUUGGAAGUCGAAGUCUCCCACACUAUCAAAGCCCC
rnacentral:lncRNA from 1 species